rnacentral:sRNA from 1 species
GCUGGGCACUGUGGCUCAUGCCUGUAAUCUCAGUUCCUCAGGAAGUUGAGGCAGGAGGAUUGAAUGUCCAAGGCCAGCCUGAGCAACUUAGCAAGAGCCUGUCUCAA